rnacentral:tRNA from 1 species
AUUUAUAUAGUUUAAUAAAAACAUUACAUUUUCACUGUAAAAAUAGAAGUUUCUUAUAAAUA